UUGGCCGUGGAAACAGAAAUUAAAGACAGAAUUUAAAAACAACAAAAUAACAAAAAGCCUAAAUCCAAAAAUGGGAAAUCAGGCCCAACGAAAGAGAGGUUCAAAGAGAGAGAGAGCACCUAACGGUGCCGCCAGGGAAGGUCUCUACUCGGAGAAAGCCGAGCGACCAAAAACCCCACACCACGAGCCACUCCACUAAGAAAACCCUUGCCAGAACAGCAUCAAAUCUACCAAAUCUACAUCAGAAAACUUAUAGGAGAUCAACAAACUCACAACACCAAAUCUACAGCGCCGCCGUGACCAAAACGAGGGGAUAUUGCCUUGCCUCACCAGAACUUCGAUGGAACGUUCCUUUGAGAAAGUUGUGUUACUGUCGUCGGAGCAACAUCUGUUUCUCAGGGAAGGAAGCCAUCCGGAGGUUAACAAAGACGAGGAGCUCUACCCGCCAACACUAGCUGUCCAGAACUGAACUGAACUGAACUGAACUGGAGAUGAUGAAGCUGAGGGUGAAAUCGCCAAAUGCUUUGGAUCUCCAUCGGAGAGCUUGACUGAAGUUCCGAUCGGCCAAGACACAAUGAAGGGGGCCCUCUCCGGUCGCAAGCGAGGGCCGCCGCGAACCCGAGAGGCAGAUCUGAAAAAUUUGGUUUCGCCACUUGAAUUCGAGAGAGAAAAGAAGGGAGCGCGCGAGGCUGAAUGGAUUCUUCCAAUAGUGAUGCAAAUUAAUCAUCAUCUUUUCCUUGAAACUAACAUGGAUAAAAAAGGACUUUCAGACCAAAAAAAAUAUUCUAAGAGUGAAACUAAUAUUUAUACGGGAAUGUACAAGAGAAUUUGUACGGUAAAAUUGGAAGAAAAAAAACGUGAGCAAAGAGUUCAAUUAAGAAAAAAGAACUAGAAUGCUUAACUAGUACUAUAUUUUUAAUUACAACGGGAAUGCAUUUUCCUGAACUAGGAAACAACUAAAUUGAAUAUUAUUCUAUUUUUUUUUGGAUUUGGCAUGACUGAUGAGUAUCCGAUUUUAUUCAAAGGUUCAAACUCCAGAAAAGAAGAAAAAAGAAAGAAAAAUGCGAUUUCUAGGGUUUCGUCCGUACAGUGACUGCGAGAUUUCAGAUCCUUAGAUCUACAAGUCGAAACCCUAAAAUUCAUUCAGGGAGUCCGGAAAGUGAUUCGCUGCAUCCAAGGAAGCUUUGGGCAAGAGAUUUCAAGCAAGAACGAAUUGAGAACCCAGACUAGCGAGGAGCUGUUUGGGGGUCGAUAUUCGAGUUCCAGGAUGAAUCGCACAAAGAAGAAGAAAGAACUGUCUCUUACGGAACAAUUAAGGGAGAGAGAUCUGCUUGGAGAAGGGGAUCUGGUAGAAAUCCCCGAUUUGGAAAACGAAGAUCUAAUUGAAGAGAACUCAAAAAGGGGAUCUGGUAGUGAGGAUUAAGGUUCACAAACUGAGGUUUUAUGACUUGGUUUUGCCAAGAAACUUGAAGAGUCAAGUCUUUUAUAUCUCCAUGGAGAAUGCUCGUUUGGCUACUCUUCAGGUUGGUGGUCGAAAAUACAUAGUGUUUACACUACGAGGCUAAAAGAUGCAAAAAGACUGACCGAUGACAUUAAAAAAGCUAAUGUGUGAAUAUGUUGUGUUAUACCUUUAUUCCAGAUCAUUGUUCGUAAAUAUCUUUGUUCUCAUUGUGGUUCUUUGCUCACACAUCUGAUGUUUCAUGUUGGCACAACAUUUCAAGCAUCUAUGUACCACUUCCACUUCAGAUUCUUUUCAUCUUGGCAGAAUCUUAGGGUAUUGUGGAUUGCAAGGAUCAGUUCCUGAUUUAAGAAGGAUACAAGCACAAGUUAUCUCUUUCCUCUCUCUUCUCUUUUUUUGUAUUUCUGAUGCUACAUCCAUUAAUCCUACUUGUCUCUGUUAUUUCAUGUUAAGGGUAACAACCGAAGAGCUUGCUGUUACAAGAGGUUAAGGGUGACAACCGAAGAUCAACUUCUCUAUUGCAGAUCGCUAUUGCAAUUAUUGAGUCCGGAUUCUUCACCUUAUUUCAGCCAGGAUGAUAAUUAAUCGUUUUUGUAAUCUUUUUUUAAUAUGCUUUUAUAUAUGUAAUUUUAAAUUUUAUGAAAUGCAAU